GACGCUAAUACCGCAUACGUCCUACGGGAGAAAGCAGGGGACCUUCGGGCCUUGCGCUAUCAGAUGAGCCUAGGUCGGAUUAGCUAGUUGGUGGGGUAAUGGCUCACCAAGGCGACGAUCCGUAACUGGUCUGAGAGGAUGAUCAGUCACACUGGAACUGAGACACGGUCCAGACUCCUACGGGAGGCAGCAGUGGGGAAUAUUGGACAAUGGGCGAAAGCCUGAUCCAGCCAUGCCGCGUGUGUGAAGAAGGUCUUCGGAUUGUAAAGCACUUUAAGUUGGGAGGAAGGGUUGUAGAUUAAUACUCUGCAAUUUUGACGUUACCGACAGAAUAAGCACCGGCUAACUCUGUGCCAGCAGCCGCGGUAAUACAGAGGGUGCAAGCGUUAAUCGGAAUUACUGGGCGUAAAGCGCGCGUAGGUGGUUUGUUAAGUUGGAUGUG
rnacentral:rRNA from 1 species